CAGUAGCCGCGGGAAUACGUAGGUGGCGAGCGUUGUCCGGAAUUAUUGGGCGUAAAGGGAGCGCAGGCGGACAUAUAAGUCCAUCUUAAAAGUGCGGGGCUCAACCCCGUGAGGGGAUGGAAACUGUAUGCCUUGAGUGCAGGAGAGGAAAGCGGAAUUCCCAGUGUAGCGGUGAAAUGCGUAGUUAUUGGGAGGAACACCAGUGGCGAAGGCGGCUUUCUGGACUGUAACUGACGCUGAGGCUCGAAAGCCAGGGGAGCGAACGGGAUUAGAUACCCCAGUAGUCCCUGUCUCUUAUACA
rnacentral:rRNA from 1 species